GAUGUUGCCCAAAAACCUGAGGUAGAAGAAGGAGGACCUCCACCCACCAGCCUGCCUCCAGCUCUGCCUCCCCCCGAGUCCCCCAAGGUGCAGCCUGAGCCAGAGCCAGAGCCUGGGCUACUGUUGGAAGUGGAGGAGCCGGGGCCGAGGAGGAGCGUGGGGCUGAGACUGCACCCACACUGGCCCCUGAGGUGCUCCCCUCCCAGGAGGAGCUGGAGAAGGAAGGGGGAAGCCCCCCAGCGGGCCACCUCCUCAGGAGCUAGUGGAAGAGGAGCCCUGUGCUCCUCCGCCAGCCCUGUUGACGAGGGGACUGAGGGUGGGGGUGAUGAGGUCCCCCCCGCCACCAGAGACAUCUGCAGCUGAGGAAAUGGAGACGGAGACGGCCCCUCCCCAGGAAAAGGAGCAGGAUGACACAGCUGCCAUGCUGGCUGACUUCAUUGAUUGUCCCCCUGAUGACGAGAAGCCACCACCUGUCACAGAGCCUGAUUCCUAGCCGUCUCCUACACCCCCACUCGUGUCCAAUAAAGUUAUGUACUUCGGCAUCGA